UACGUAGGGUGCGAGCGUUGUCCGGAAUUACUGGGCGUAAAGAGCUCGUAGGCGGCCUGUCGCGUCUGCUGUGAAAUCCCGGGGCUUAACCCCGGGCGUGCAGUGGAUACGGGCUGGCUGGAGGCAGGCAGGGGAGAAUGGAAUUCCCGGUGUAGCGGUGAAAUGCGCAGAUAUCGGGAGGAACACCGGUGGCGAAGGCGGUUCUCUGGGCCUGUUCUGACGCUGAGGAGCGAAAGCGUGGGGAGCGAACAGG
rnacentral:rRNA from 1 species